rnacentral:sRNA from 1 species
ACCAGAAACAUUUACGUGACUGGGGGGCCACAGACAUAUAGUCCAACUGACAGGGUACCAAUAUGUGCUCAUCCCAAGUCUCGACACCUCAUACCUCCUGGGUCAAGCUUUCUGAUCUGGAGUGUCCGUCACUCAAGCUCUGGGUCAACCGUGUCUACAUUCAUGGAUCAAGGCAGCAUAAGUUCAAGGUCUGGCAUCGUCGCUGCCACCCCUCAUAGGCAAGGCCCAGAGGCAAGCUCUGCAAAUGCCCAGUUCACGUCUGGACCAGCGGUUCUAGUCUCUUACAGGCCUCCUCAGCAGCAACAUUCCAUGUCUGGUUGGGUUGUAUAAAUGUAAAAUCAGUUCGAACAUUGGGAGAUAUAAAUAGCCAUAUUAGAAAAGCUAAUGGGCUAUUGGAGUGAAUCUAUUUUGAUAGAUAUAAAUAGCUAUGCCGCCAGAAGACGUUUAUGGGUAUUAGAAGCCAAAAAACUUGUGUAUAUGAAAUAAACUUACAUUGACCAAGUCAUACAUAUUGUCUCUGAAUUGAAUCUCUGUGGAAGCUGAGGGUUCCACACAGAAGUUUGGCUCAUGUCUCUCUGUUAUACCUGAUGCUGGUAAUAUCGGUGGAAAUAAAUAUUAACAAAGACUUAUAUAGCUUUAUAAUUUGUUUAGAUGUAUGUUUCUGCCGCCCUCUCAUUGUUAAUACCAUCUUCUCUCCUUUUAGCCGCUCCAAGAAAUUUAACUCCCGUAUAAAUGAUUGCCUUCCUUUUAAUAUUGGAAACGGCUGUACACUAAUUUUCCACAUGUUGAGUCUGUAGAGAGAGUUCAUUAAAGUUUGAAGUUUGUC